UGGGAAUUUGGACAAUGGGCGAAAGCCUGAUCCAGCAAUGCCGCGUGUGUGAAGAAGGCCUUCGGGUUGUAAAGCACUUUUGUCCGGAAAGAAAUCCUUGGCUCUAAUACAGUCGGGGGAUGACGGUACCGGAAGAAUAAGCACCGGCUAACUACGUGCCAGCAGCCGCGGUAAUACGUAGGGUGCAAGCGUUAAUCGGAAUUACUGGGCGUAAAGCGUGCGCAGGCGGUUUGCUAAGACCGAUGUGAAAUCCCCGGGCUCAACCUGGGAACUGCAUUGGUGACUGGCAGGCUAGAGUAUGGCAGAGGGGGGUAGAAUUCCACGUGUAGCAGUGAAAUGCGUAGAGAUGUGGAGGAAUACCGAUGGCGAAGGCAGCCCCCUGGGCCAAUACUGACGCUCAUGCACGAAAGCGUGGGGAGCAAACAGGAUUUAGAUACCCUGGUAGUCCACGCCCUAAAACGAUGUCAACUAGUUGUUGGGGAUUCAUUUCCUUAGUAACGUAGCUAACGCGUGAAGUUGACCGCCUGGGGAGUACGGCCGCAAGGUUAAAACUCAAAUGAAUUGACGGGGUCAUAGCUGUUUCCU
rnacentral:rRNA from 1 species